GUCUACGGCCAUGCUACCCUGAACAAGCCUGAUCCCGUCUGAUCUCAGAAGCUAAGCAGGGUUGAGUCUGGUUAGUACUUGGAUGGGAGACCUAGGAAAACCAGGUGCUGUAGGCG
rnacentral:rRNA from 1 species